rnacentral:rRNA from 1 species
AUGAGGCGAACCGGGGGAACUGAAACAUCUAAGUACCCCGAGGAAAAGAAAUCAACCGAGAUUCCCCCAGUAGCGGCGAGCGAACGGGGAGGAGCCCAGAGCCUGAAUCAGCAUGUGUGUUAGUGGAAGCGUCUGGAAAGGCGCGCGAUACAGGGUGACAGCCCCGUACACAAAAGCGCAUGUGCUGUGAGCUCGAUGAGUAGGGCGGGACACGUGGUAUCCUGUCUGAAUAUGGGGGGACCAUCCUCCAAGGCUAAAUACUCCUGACUGACCGAUAGUGAACCAGUACCGUGAGGGAAAGGCGAAAAGAACCCCGGCGAGGGGAGUGAAAAAGAACCUGAAACCGUGUACGUACAAGCAGUGGGAGCACCCUUUGGGGUGUGACUGCGUACCUUUUGUAUAAUGGGUCAGCGACUUAUAUUCUGUAGCAAGGUUAACCGAAUAGGGGAGCCGGAGGGAAACCGAGUCUUAAUUGGGCGUUAAGUUGCAGGGUAUAGACCCGAAACCCGGUGAUCUAGCCAUGGGCAGGUUGAAGGUUGGGUAACACUAACUGGAGGACCGAACCGACUAAUGUUGAAAAAUUAGCGGAUGACCUGUGGCUGGGGGUGAAAGGCCAAUCAAACCGGGAGAUAGCUGGUUCUCCCCGAAAGCUAUUUAGGUAGCGCCUCGUGAAUUCAUCUCCGGGGGUAGAGCACUGUUUCGGCUAGGGGGCCAUCCCGGCUUACCAACCCGAUGCAAACUGCGAAUACCGGAGAAUGUUAUCACGGGAGACACACGGCGGGUGCUAACGUCCGUCGUGAAGAGGGAAACAACCCAGACCGCCAGCUAAGGUCCCAAAGUCAUGGUUAAGUGGGAAACGAUGUGGGAAGGCCCAGACAGCCAGGAUGUUGGCUUAGAAGCAGCCAUCAUUUAAAGAAAGCGUAAUAGCUCACUGGUCGAGUCGGCCUGCGCGGAAGAUGUAACGGGGCUAAACCAUGCACCGAAGCUGCGGCAGCGACGCUGAUGCGUUGUUGGGUAGGGGAGCGUUCUGUAAGCCUGUGAAGGUGGCCUGUGAGGGUUGCUGGAGGUAUCAGAAGUGCGAAUGCUGACAUAAGUAACGAUAAAGCGGGUGAAAAGCCCGCUCGCCGGAAGACCAAGGGUUCCUGUCCAACGUUAAUCGGGGCAGGGUGAGUCGACCCCUAAGGCGAGGCCGAAAGGCGUAGUCGAUGGGAAACGGGUUAAUAUUCCCGUACUUGGUGUUACUGCGAAGGGGGGACGGAGAAGGCUAUGUUGGCCGGGCGACGGUUGUCCCGGUUUAAGCGUGUAGGUGUGUGUUCCAGGUAAAUCCGGUUCACUUUAACACUGAGGCGUGAUGACGAGGCACUACGGUGCUGAAGCAACAAAUGCCCUGCUUCCAGGAAAAGCCUCUAAGCAUCAGGUAACAUCAAAUCGUACCCCAAACCGACACAGGUGGUCAGGUAGAGAAUACCAAGGCGCUUGAGAGAACUCGGGUGAAGGAACUAGGCAAAAUGGUGCCGUAACUUCGGGAGAAGGCACGCUGACAUGUAGGUGAAGUGAUUUACUCAUGGAGCUGAAGUCAGUCGAAGAUACCAGCUGGCUGCAACUGUUUAUUAAAAACACAGCACUGUGCAAACACGAAAGUGGACGUAUACGGUGUGACGCCUGCCCGGUGCCGGAAGGUUAAUUGAUGGGGUCAGCGCAAGCGAAGCUCCUGAUCGAAGCCCCGGUAAACGGCGGCCGUAACUAUAACGGUCCUAAGGUAGCGAAAUUCCUUGUCGGGUAAGUUCCGACCUGCACGAAUGGCGUAAUGAUGGCCAGGCUGUCUCCACCCGAGACUCAGUGAAAUUGAACUCGCUGUGAAGAUGCAGUGUACCCGCGGCAAGACGGAAAGACCCCGUGAACCUUUACUAUAGCUUGACACUGAACAUUGAGCCUUGAUGUGUAGGAUAGGUGGGAGGCUUUGAAGUGUGGACGCCAGUCUGCAUGGAGCCGGCCUUGAAAUACCACCCUUUAAUGUUUGAUGUUCUAACGUGGACCCGUGAUCCGGGUUGCGGACAGUGUCUGGUGGGUAGUUUGACUGGGGCGGUCUCCUCCUAAAGAGUAACGGAGGAGCACGAAGGUUGGCUAAUCCUGGUCGGACAUCAGGAGGUUAGUGCAAUGGCAUAAGCCAGCUUGACUGCGAGCGUGACGGCGCGAGCAGGUGCGAAAGCAGGUCAUAGUGAUCCGGUGGUUCUGAAUGGAAGGGCCAUCGCUCAACGGAUAAAAGGUACUCCGGGGAUAACAGGCUGAUACCGCCCAAGAGUUCAUAUCGACGGCGGUGUUUGGCACCUCGAUGUCGGCUCAUCACAUCCUGGGGCUGAAGUAGGUCCCAAGGGUAUGGCUGUUCGCCAUUUAAAGUGGUACGCGAGCUGGGUUUAGAACGUCGUGAGACAGUUCGGUCCCUAUCUGCCGUGGGCGCUGGAGAACUGAGGGGGGCUGCUCCUAGUACGAGAGGACCGGAGUGGACGCAUCACUGGUGUUCGGGUUGUCAUGCCAAUGGCACUGCCCGGUAGCUAAAUGCGGAAGAGAUAAGUGCUGAAAGCAUCUAAGCACGAAACUUGCCCCGA